UACGUAGGGUGCAAGCGUUGUCCGGAAUUAUUGGGCGUAAAGCGCUCGUAGGCGGUUUGUCGCGUCUGCUGUGAAAACUCGGGGCUUAACCUCGGGCCUGCAGUGGGUACGGGCAGACUAGAGUGCGGUAGGGGGGACUGGAAUUCCUGGUGUAGCGGUGAAAUGCGCAGAUAUCAGGAGGAACACCGGUGGCGAAGGCGGGUCUCUGGGCCGGAACUGACGCUGAGGAGCGAAAGCGUGGGGAGCGAACAGG
rnacentral:rRNA from 1 species